CCUACGGGUGGCAGCAGUGAGGAAUAUUGGUCAAUGGGCGCGAGCCUGAACCAGCCAAGUAGCGUGAGGGAUGAAGGCCCUCCGGGUUGUAAACUUCUUUUAUAAAGGAGUAAAGUGAGGCACGUGUGCCUUUUUGUAUGUACUUUAUGUAUAAGGAACGGCUAACUCCAUGCCAGCAGCCGCGGUAAUACGGAGGAUCCGAGCGUUGUCCGGAUUGAUUGGGUUUAAAGGGAGCGUAGACGGGUUGUUAAGUCAGUUGUGAAAGUUGGGGGCUCAACCGUAAAAGUGCAAUUGAGACUGGCAGGCUUGAGUGCAGGAGAGGUAGGCGGAAUUCGUGGUGUAGCGGUGAAAUGCGUAGAUAUCAGGAAGAACUCCGGUGGCGAAGGCAGCUUACUAAACUGCAACUGACAUUGAGGCUCGAAAGUGUGGGUAGCAAACAGGAUUAGAUACCCCUGUAGUC
rnacentral:rRNA from 1 species